AGCAGUGUGAGUAUGCAUGUGAAAGGAAAAGCACUGCACAGUAGUUUAGUAUUAAAAGUGGGCACUUUAAGUGCUUUAGUCAGUAGAGCUGGAAAAGAGUUACUAUAUUAGUAAAGUUUAUCCUAUUUCAAGCCAGGGAAGAAAGAGGACAACUAUGCUGACUGUAUCCAACAUAUAGCGCGAUCCUAAGUUACGCCACAAGGGGGCACUUCCACCCAAACGAGACAGCGAAGUGCGUCGCCCAUCUUUUUUCAGUUAUAAGACUCUUCUGGGAGACACAGAAAUCCUUGGAAAUGGACGUGUGGCUCUGACAACCUGGAGUAGCUACCAUAUCUGUGCAACCUGAAUGGGAUACAACUCAUGCAACCAGUGUUGACAAGGACCCGAGCAAAACACAAAACUAGAGAGAAAUCAGUCAGGAGGGAUGAGGAAAUAAGGGAAAAAACAGAAACCAUUCCUUUGUGGGGGACUGUCUCAUUGUUGCCUCUGCUGUGCACCUGUUGUCACUUCCAUUUGCACCACAGCAGCUGUGGAUUCAAGUGGUUCAGACAGACAUACCUGAACUGAGGUUAUGUUGCACUGCUGAUCAAAUGUUCCCUUCAUUUUUUGUAUGUAUCUAUUAUAAAAAGAUGUUUUGGCUAUAUAUAGUUUUAAAUUAAUGCUUUUUUUUCUAACAAACAACUUUAAGUGGAGAGGGAAGUAUAGGGAAUUUUAGAUAACAUACAAACUGAUUCCUGAAAUUUCGUUUGUGUUUUUAAGGUUUUAUCACAUUUGUGUAAUGGGGAUAAGCGUGCCUUGCCCUUCACCUGUUGGCUAAGCUGUUCUGACUCUCAGUGUGAAAAUGGCAGCCACUACAGAGAGAAUUGUUUGAUAUCUAAAGAUGUCCAUAACCUCCUUCUUAGAGCCAGAUGAGCACUUAAAAUAAUCCAGCUUUAUUAUACGCCAGCAAAAGCUCCACCUGGAGGAACAUUGUAAAAAUAAGAAUUUAAACUGACUAAUGCUUCAGUUUUUUGUUAUAUAUAUUUAUUUAAAACAGUGACAGCAAAGACAAAAUAUAAAAAAUCGACCACUUAUUAUUUCCAAAGCCUUGUCAGUAGAAUUCGGAUGUUUCAUCUUAACUUAGCUUUUAGGGCACGGAUUAAAUCAUGUUGGUUGUAGUAAAGUAAUUGUGCCAGUCAACUUAUACAAUUCUGGGGGGAUUUACAGGAGUUCAAAUUUCUUAAAAAUAUUGCAUAAUAAUGCAAGAUAUUGCAUUAUCUUGCUAAAAAAAGGAAGGCCUUCCCUGAAACAUCCAUUUGGGGAUGGCAACAUAUGCUGCUCGAAAUCCUUUGGGUCAGAAUGUAUAUUGUGUGUUAAAUCAGAAAUCUAUGCUACUGUAUGUAUACUAUGACAUAUUUAUUAACAAAGAACAUACGAUUAUGGAAAUUGUGUAUUAGAACAUGUUUAUUUGGUUAUUUAUCGAUCUGAUUAUUAAGGUGGUGACUUCUUUGAUUUAUUCUCCAACCUUUAUUGGCCCAGCAGCCUCCGGGCUGGUUUUUAUUAUAAAAGCAUUUUUUAUCUCACUCAAGUGUAAUUAGCACCCUGACACAUAAUGUAUCAUAGCAACAUGAGUAAAAAUAAUGCAUGAGUAAUGUAGUUUCUGCACAAAAUUAGAAAGAGUGAUUGCAUCUACAGAAGAGAUUUUGUAGAAUUGUGUCUUAGUUCUUUAUAUUUGCACACACUUAUUUAACAGUAGGUGCUAAACUAAGCCUGCAAACACACACACAUUUUGAUGAAACUACGCUGAAUGUCGGUAGGAUGUGUCACUGCUUUUACCCAGCCGUGCCUUUUGAGUCUGUAAGCUCCUUUCCUGGCUCGUUGCUGAGGUGGGCACACAUUACAUGCAGCAGUACAGUACGUGGUAAUCUGCGCGGCUCUGCGCUGACAGCCUAUUGAGUGCUGAGGGCUGACAGUAAGCCUGUUUCAUGUAGGAAUGUGGUUAGGGUGCUCUGCAGUCAGCGCCAUCACACAAUGCACAACUCUCACUCUAUCGACUACAACACAACUAAACAGAGGAUACACAGACACUGGACGGAAGGAGAGAGGAGGGCAAGUGAAGAGAGAGUUAGAGGACAGGCAAAAGCACAAGAAAGAAAAACAGGUGGAUGAGAGCGCUGUAGAGGCAGGAAACUGUCCUCCCUUCUCAUCUCUGUCAUUGAGAGGACAGUAAACUUGACUUGUAAUUAGAUAACAGCACCUGUCUGUCCUCCUCCGCUUCUUUUCACCUUCAGAAACCUCAGCCAGGACAUACGAUGUGAGGAAGACGGGAACUGUAAUGCUGAAAAUCAUCUUAAUUUUGAAGACAGUUUUCACACAUUGUUUACUUUACUUGCUCGGUGACCAAACUGUUGCCUGGGUGGGAAAAAAAGGAAACUAUCCAUUACCUGACAUUCCAUCUUUUGGUACGGUGCUAUUAAGUCCUGUACUGGAGUCAAUACGCUGAGCUGUUUGACAUUUUCACCAUCUGUUAAAAUGCAGCCCAGGUGAAAACUCACUGUCGCUGAGAAAUGAACAGCUUAGCAGCAAAUAACAGGUUGCAAGAGUCACGCUCACAGCUGCUUGCAGGCAGUAAUUCUGUCAUGCUUGUACAUAUGAAUGACAACCCUGGAUAUAAAUAUGAAUGCAUCAUCAGCAUUUUUUUUGCAAAAGUAUACGAUAAAUCCACACACCACCAAACAACUCCACUGUUGCUAUGAGAUCAAAAAGAUGGGAUGGAUGCUGUAAUGG